rnacentral:rRNA from 1 species
GAGGGAAAAGCCCAAGAUUGAAAGCUGGCGCCUUCGGCGUCCGCAUUGUAAUCUCAAGAAGUGUUUUCCGCUUCGGACCAAGCCUAAGUUUCCUGGAAAGGAGCAUCGUAGAGGGUGAAAAUCCCGUACAUGGUUUGGAGCGCCCGAAGCUUUGUGAUACAUUUUCUAAGAGUCGAGUUGUUUGGGAAUGCAGCUCAAAAUGGGUGGUAAAUGCCAUCUAAGGCUAAAUAUUGGGGAGAGACCGAUAGCGAACAAGUACAGUGAUGGAAAGAUGAAAAGAACUUUGAAAAGAGAGUUAAACAGUACGUGAAAUUGCCAAAAGGGAAGGGUAGGAGGUCAGAGAUGCGACUUGGGAUUCAGCCUUGCCUUUUUGCUUGGUGUAUUUCCCAAGUCGCAGGCCAACGUCGGUUUUGGGCACUGGAGAAGGGUAAGAGGAAUGUGGCACUCUUCGGAGUGUGUUAUAGCCUCUUACUGGAUGCAGCGACCGAGACCGAGGAAUGCAGCGUACUCGUAAGAGCGGGCCUUCGGGCACCUU